AGAAAAAACUUUCAUUACUACAUUUUCAGCCAGCUCUAUUCACAAUGAUUUCCAGAGAAAGUUUGCUCACUUUACAAGUAAAAGCUGCUUUUUCUAACUGCCAGCCCUACAAACCAGAACUGCAAUCAGCAGGUUCUUCCUGGAUCAUACAUCUUGAAUAAAGCCCCAUUGUCAGACAUUACUACACCUGUGCAGCUCCCCUAUCUUCAAUUGGGUUAUACAGAUAAACUUGGAGCAGGAGACUUGACAUGAUAAUUGGAAUUUAAUUAACAGUCUGUAGGUGAUGCAUGAACCAGGAUAGAAUUCAGCUCCUGUUCUCAACUAGGUAGGCUCUGAAGAGUUAACAUUAAUUUUGACCCCUGAAGUAAACAGAUCUGACCAACUAAACAAAGAUCUGUUGAAUAAGGAAGUAGCCAAGAAGUGAGGUUUUUACUCACGAAAGCUUAUGCCCAAAUAAAUCUGUUAGUCUUUAAGGUGCCACCAGACUCCUUGUUGUUUUUGUAGAUACAGACUAACACGGCUACCCCCUGAUACUUGACAUUUUAUAUAGGUACAUUUUAGAGUACAACAACAAAAAAGAAGACAGAAGGGGGAGCAUAAGGAUCCUACACAGUGGUCUGAUGGAAACAUGAGCAUGUUUCAUUAUGCAGGGGUACGUGACUAGAGGAGCAGAGUUUUGUGAGAAAAUUGAAGAAACAGAAAUCCAGCUCUACUGGUAUUUCACCAUGGCCAUUUGCUGCAGCUGCUUUAGCAUCAGGGCCAUAGGGAGUGUCAGAUAAAAUGACUGCGUAAAUGAGAUAUAGAGAAGGCAUUUUGACCUGAAUACUGGAUAAAUACCUGUAAAUAAACCACUUGAUUCUGAAGAAUAGGUACAAGGGGUUGCACUUUGUAUGUCAACUAGAUUGAAAGUGGGCUUGGAAAGAGUUUAAAGCACAAACCCACACAUCUUGUGUGUGUAUUAGAGGUGCACCUAGACAAUCAUAGACAUAGCACUGGUCUGUUACAGUUACCCCCAGAUGGCCCUAAAAUCUGAACCUGACAUCCAAUGGUGGGAACUUCUUACCCUAUUAUCACAAUCCAUAAGCCAGGACAAUGGUUUAAUAAACCCAAACCAGGCCUCAAUAAUACUCAUAUGAACUCUAUGCAUACAGAGCCACACAGAACCCCAUUUCAACUAAUAAGAAAUCUCUCUAUAUAGUACUCAUUGCAUGAUAGGGACCCAAGCCACUGAAACCAAACACAAAGCAAAUGAUUUCUCACAGCCAGAGGUUAAAACAUUAAGGCACUCUUGGAGUCCUCUUCUUCAGAUAUACAGCUUUGAGCUAAUUUCCUUCCAAGCAGCCUGUUUCCCUAGCACAAUGCUAUACAAGAAAAUAUAUUCUCUAUAUUAAUACCACUCCAAACAAAUAGUCCCAGCCUUUCCUUUUUAUACGCCUUGAAUGACCAAUCAUCUUCACCUGAGACCAGUCUCAUUCUUGCCACCUGACAGACUUGUUCCUGUUGCCCAUAUGUCAUUAUGUAUCCAUAUGUUGUCUCGUCUUAUACUUACUGUGACAGAUAUGGCAAUUCCCUGCAAUAUCCUGGACAAGCCUUACUGAGUUAAGUUAAACCUCACUGAUUUAAGUUUAAAUAUCUUAGUAGUUCAUUGUAUUAAAAAUGCAAAUGUUUAUAUAUUGCUGUGGGAUUGUAUGUAACUUCUUUAAGGGGGAGACAGGACUAAUGUAAAGCUUGGGAAGUGUUAUGAGCUUCAAAAGGACUCUCUUGAAACAACAGACCAGACAAGAUUUAGGGCUAGUCAACCCUUUUUUCAUACCCCUGAGCGAGAAAGUUGCAGCGCUGUAAAUUGCCAGUGUAGACAAGUUUUUAGUUGAGUGCAUCUCCUAGGAAGUACUUGGGAGGAAGGGGAUGCAAAGCUGUACCUUUUGAGGAGAAUCCCAUUGUCUGGCUGAAACAACAAGGAGUCCUUGGUGGCACUCUCUGCAUAUCAAAGACUCCAAUUGGAUAAAGGAGUGACUCAGAUUCAUGGGGGGUGCUUGUUCUGAGCCAAGGCCAUUGUGAAUUUGUAACCACAGGAAAAUCUCUUGGUGGGGUUUGAAGGAUUGACUCCUACCUGAGGCCUUGCUAGAGUUGGGGUAAUCUCUGAGGGGAAAAAAAUAAAGCAGGCCUUACUUGUCUGACUUUGCUGGGGAACUGUGCAUCCUGGAAAAAUCCCAGUCAAGAAGUAGAGAUACACAGGUCAUCACACAAGAGAGAAGAUGGCUGUGGAGCCUAGAGUCGAUGGCCAGUAUGGAUGGAUGGCCAUUCUUAUGUUCUUAUAAUGUCAGCAGAUAAUAUCAAUGUUUAUUUUUAAGCAUUUUUGUCUAUUUACAUUUUCACAAUUUGGGAAAAUUAUGGAGGGUCAGACAAUAAUUAUUUAAGAACAGUAGACAAUGAAAUUCAAAAAGUUAGCUUUAUUAUUAUUAAAACACAAAUUGUCAACAUCACGUCAAAAUAUAAAAAGUAAAUAAUAUCCUUAAAUCAAACUCUUAAGUUCUCAAGCAGUGGGUUUUUUAAAAUUUGCCUAUCUGUAAAUUUUCAUUAUUAUCAAUAGCAAUAUGUUUUGCUGGUUUGUGUGUGUACAGUGAAAUCAAUGUUUACUGACAUUUACCAAUAAAAAUCAAAUCCUACCAAGCCUA